rnacentral:lncRNA from 1 species
UGGUUUAUCUGUUUUAUAUGCUUCUUUUGGUAACAUCACUUGCAACACCUAUAAUUCUGAAAAUAAGUCUCUUGCAUCAACAUCAGAAACAUCACCAUGUUUUAAAGCAUUUUCAAGAUUCACACAAGAACUUUUCAAUUCAUUAUCAUCAAACGAAGUCAACUUUGCAGCAUCAAAUAAGAACCCAAAAAUUGAUUCAAAA